rnacentral:rRNA from 1 species
AGAGCGAACGCUGGCGGCAGGCUUAACACAUGCAAGUCGAGCGGGCGUAGCAAUACGUCAGCGGCAGACGGGUGAGUAACGCGUGGGAACGUACCUUUUGGUUCGGAACAACACAGGGAAACUUGUGCUAAUACCGGAUAAGCCCUUACGGGGAAAGAUUUAUCGCCGAAAGAUCGGCCCGCGUCUGAUUAGCUAGUUGGUGAGGUAACGGCUCACCAAGGCGACGAUCAGUAGCUGGUCUGAGAGGAUGAUCAGCCACAUUGGGACUGAGACACGGCCCAAACUCCUACGGGAGGCAGCAGUGGGGAAUAUUGGACAAUGGGCGCAAGCCUGAUCCAGCCAUGCCGCGUGAGUGAUGAAGGCCCUAGGGUUGUAAAGCUCUUUUGUGCGGAAGAUAAUGACGGUACCGCAAGAAUAAGCCCCGGCUAACUUCGCGCCAGCAGCCGC